UAAAUAUGUGAUCUUCUAUUCUAUCAAAUAGAGAAGUGAAGAAAAUAAAGAUGUAGCCUUUGAGUUCUUUUCCUUUUCUUUCUUUCUUUCUUAUUUUAUUUUGUUUAUGGAAGUAAAAGUAAGUGCGUGAAAUUCCACCUCCCAUUUUCUAGGGCUUAUGAUGUUAUUAAAUCCUGUAUUUCUGAAACAUACUGCAAUCUUUGCUAUUAUAGUCCCUGGUGGAUAAUUGAUUCAUUGCAGAUCAGAUCUGUGUACAUUUUGGUGCAGUAAUUUGUUUGGGCUGAUUACAA
rnacentral:misc_RNA from 1 species